UUCACACAUUGUACUCAUGUGGGGAAUCGAACCCGGGUGUUGGACGUGGAGAGAGAACGCUUUAACCGCUAAGCCACCCUAUCGCCCCGUCUACGCAACGUAACCACGAACAUGCAUGUAUUGACAAACCAGCAAACAUAAUCGGGCGUCCUGAGAUUCAAACCCACUGUGAUGAGUUUGGAGGAGUCAAGGUGACCUAACUCCGCACAGCGAAUUGGGACGCUAGAGUGAGAGUGAGUGAGUUUAUAUUUACGCCGUUUUUAGCAAUAUUCUAGCAAUAUCUCAGCGCGGGACACCAGAAAUGGCAAGAGUAAGAGUAUAACCAUGAGUAUAUCUCAGUUCUCCAGAUCAAAAUUAAAGAAGUACCACAGCCUAAUUAACGCAAACUUUAAAAUAAUCGAAUAAAAAAAAUAUGCGAACUAUAAUUUAUUUCACUAACGAUAGUAGAAGUUUACAUCAGUCUUGGUAAUGAAGGGGAGGACAAUGAUACCAAAUUUGUGUUUCUCAUCUCCGCGUUCAGCUUUAGAGGUUACGAGAAGUCGGAAGAAUAUGAGUCAAAGUACUUUUGGUUGAGUAUAACCUGACACGCUGAUUUAAAAUAGAAGGUAAAGAAACUAUGUAGUAUUCGCCUAUAACCUUUUGAUAAUGGUCUGUAUUUAAAGUGCACACACUGUUGUAUCAGUAUAGAAAACUUUAAGUGCACCAAACUCAGCGGAGUAUUUGAAAGAAUUAUUUCAAACAUUAAUUUUGGUUACAAAACAAGAGCUAAAUGGUCAGCAUCCUUCCCUCAAUAAGCAUCCGUGGUUUGUGUGAACAGAAAUGUAAAGUAGAAGUUAGGAGUUGUUAAACUUCCAACAUCCACAGAUAUGGUAUGUUAUUAGAAUAAGUAUUUCUUUUCAAUAUAUAUAUA